AGCAUGGGGCAUGGCAUUGUGUCCAGAGCAGUGAUUGUCAGCCGGGGGUACACAUACCCCAUGGGGUACUUAAAAGGGUCCUAGGGGGUAUGUAGAACUCCACGUGCAUGCCUGCAUCUGCAGCACAGUACACGAGCGGCCAGGAGCACAGCC